ensembl:lncRNA
GGCAGGUAGAAAUUAGUUUCCCUCUGCAAGGAGUAUUAUAUUUUUAUGAGGUUUAUUAAAGGUUAAGGAUUAAAGAAAAUACAGAAUAAGAAAGCACAUGUCUAGGCCCAGAGAGGCCUAGACAACCUCACUUACAUCAUGAAAGAGACACGUCUGCUGGGAAGCGGAAGUAGGAAAGAGCGCACGCAGCCUUUACAACCAGGUUAAAUACCCCAUCUCGAUCUUGGCCCAGGUGAGAUUACAAGGCAUUUUAGGAAGUGAGCAAGGACUUCUGGGGAAUGGAGUCCAGAGUUCAAAUCUCCAUUUUUACAGUUAUGAAGGAAUUCUGUCACCCUGUUAUCAAGGUAUUCUGUCAUAAUUGUAGCCUUCACCCUGGAAUUCCAGUUAGCAGGAUUCUUAUCUUUUAUGGUGGCUUUCAGUAACUUCAGUGGGGGAGGGAUGUUGGAGAUUGAGCUUCCCUGUCCUUUUAAGGCUUCUUAUCUGAACUAUUGAUAGACUAGAUUAAUCUGCAUGUAUGUACCCUGAAGUCAAAACUUCAAGAAGCAGAGGCCAAAAAUGGAGAAUGUUGUCUGUGACCAGGCUGCCCUCCCUAUGUGCCUCUCCUACAGCUGCCUCCCUGACAGCUGUGACUAGAGACCUGGCCCAGCUGUGGCAGCAAGGCACUCCUGCUGGGCUGGAGCCCUCACCUCAAGAUUCCAGUGACCAUCAGAGACUCAGCAGACAGAGAGGUGUCUGGCGUCAGCUUGCUGAGUGUCUUGGCAUCUUGGAGUGGCAGCAGCUAUUGUCUGGUUUAGUGGUGAGUUUCCCUUGAUACCAUACUGUAGGAAGCCUAGUAACCUAGUUCAGGUGAGGCUCUUCUCUGAGUUCUCUCAGAGUUUAGGCUGAUAUUUCCUCCUUUACCUUCCAAACCCUAUCCACUUAGAAGCCUCUAAUCUUCUUCAUAAACCUUGUGGCAGAGGACUUUGAAUUCCCCCUGGCACAGGCCAGGUGUGUGAAAUCCUAUACCCUUUAUAUAUAUAUAUAUAUAUAUAUAUACAUACAUAUAUAUAUAUAUAUAUACAUAUAUAUACAUAUAUACCUCCUUCCUUCACCCUAAAUGAAAUUAAAUAGAUAAGUAAGAAAGUGCAAACUAUGACUGCCACAUUGAAGGCAUUUAAUGAAUACUUGUCAAUUGUCUAUGUUGAAAACAUGGGAAUGUGAACCAGAACUGCAAUUCUAUGGUUCUACUAGAACAAAUUCUAUGACCAGAACUGAUUGCUCUAUUCAUAUAACACAGGCUAUUUAUCAUCUCUCAUUCCAACCUUGCCAUUUCCUGUUUUUUAUAUUGACCCCCAUGGAUAGUAUGGAUUCCCCGACCAUCAUCUCUCUACAUGAUACUCCCUACCUUUAAUGUCCAAGUCAGGUGUCAGCUCUUCAUUGGAGUUUUCUUAAUUCUUGAGAUCAAGUCAAUGUAGAACAGAUAAACAUUCUGCAACUGGAGUUGUUUUCUUUAGUCCUAGGAAUGUUUCUAAAGGAGUAUGCUGAUUUGGUUUCCUCUGUUAUCUUCUCGCUUUAAAGCAGGAGUUCUUGAUCAUUUUUAUAUCCUGGACUAGACCCCUUUGGAAAUUCAAUGAAACCUAUGAACCUUUUCCCAGAA